CAUGCAGUCGAACGAUGAAGCCCUUCCGGGGUGGAUUAGUGGCGAACGGGUGAGUAACACGUGGGCAAUCUGCCCUUCACUCUGGGACAAGCCCUGGAAACGGGGUCUAAUACCGGAUAACACUUUCCUCUGCAUGGGGGAAGGUUGAAAGCUCCGGCGGUGAAGGAUGAGCCCGCGGCCUAUCAGCUUGUUGGUGGGGUGAUGGCCCACCAAGGCGACGACGGGUAGCCGGCCUGAGAGGGCGACCGGCCACACUGGGACUGAGACACGGCCCAGACUCCUACGGGAGGCAGCAGUGGGGAAUAUUGCACAAUGGGCGAAAGCCUGAUGCAGCGACGCCGCGUGAGGGAUGACGGCCUUCGGGUUGUAAACCUCUUUCAGCAGGGAAGAAGCGAAAGUGACGGUACCUGCAGAAGAAGCGCCGGCUAACUACGUGCCAGCAGCCGCGGUAAUACGUAGGGCGCAAGCGUUGUCCGGAAUUAUUGGGCGUAAAGAGCUCGUAGGCGGCUUGUCGCGUCGGAUGUGAAAGCCCGGGGCUUAACCCCGGGUCUGCAUUCGAUACGGGCAGGCUAGAGUGUGGUAGGGGAGAUCGGAAUUCCUGGUGUAGCGGUGAAAUGCGCAG
rnacentral:rRNA from 1 species